rnacentral:rRNA from 1 species
GAGCUGCCCGGCCACCUCGAGCGCAUGCUGGCGAACGGAAGACGCGCGGACGUCAGGUUUCGGGUGCGCGGCCGAAACUUCCGCGCGCACAGCUCUAUCCUGGCCGAGCGGUCGCCCGUCUUCGAGGCUCAGCUCUUUGGCCCCAUGGCGGAGAAGGACAUGCGGCGCAUCAAGGUUGUCGGCAUGAGGUCGGCCAUCUUCAAGAUGAUGCUUCGCUAUAUCUAUACGGACAUACUGCCGUCAUAUAUGCAACGACCAAGGCGGCCGCAGCGCUGCGGUGAUGCAGCGUUUGCUUGUCGCGGCGGACAGGUACGGGCUGGACAGGCUGAAGCUCAUGUGCGAGGAAGAGCUGUGCGGAGGAUCGACGCAGAGACCAUCAUGUCCAUGCACGCGCUGGCAAAUCGGCACCAUUUUCAUCGGCUCAAGCACGAGUGCCUUCUGUUUCUUACGCGGUCGCCGGAAGUCCUAGGCACCGCCCUUGAGAGUAGCGGGUUCAACGAGCUCUGCAUGACAAAUUACCGACCAUUGCCUCUGGAGGGGGGAGAGAUCCCUUCACCGAGGGCAGUGGUGCAUGUACGGGAGACCAUAUCGUCAAGCAGCUUCAAGGAGCACACGGGCACACUCAGUUUGGAGGUGCCCGACUACCUGCAGAUCAAGGACAUGGGCAUCGGCGAGUUCGUUAGCUCGCGCGUCUUCCCGGUCGGUGGCUACGAGUGGGAGAUGAGGUUCUACCCAGGCGGAAAAGACCGGCACUGUGCCGGCAACGCCUCCGCGUACGUGUUCUGCCGCAGCCAAGUCAAGGACGUGAGCACCCGGUUCACGUUGAGCAUGCUGCAGACCAAGGGCCAGGUGCCGGUGGCAAGCUUCGACCCGAGGAAGCGCGUCUUCUCUUCAAAAACACCGAGAUACGAAUCAUACGAUGAGUGGGGCCACCCCAAAUUCGUGGAGAGGGCCAAGCUGGAAUCGCUGUCGCAGCUCGGGGACGGCUGCUUCACGGUACUGUGCGUCCUCACCGUCGUCAUGGACGAGGCACCGUCUCUGCAGCUGCACAGCCACCUCGAGCGCAUGCUCGAGGACGGGAGGGGCGCCGACGUGACGUUCAACGUAGCCAACCAGGAGUUCCGCGCUCACAGUUUUCUCCUGGCGGCGCGAUCGCCGGUCUUUGCGGCGCAGCUAUUUGACCUAAUGGCGGAGAAGGAUGUGCGGCAAGUGGAGAUUGUUGACGUGGAGCCUGCCAUAUUCAAGAUGAUGCUUCACUACAUCUACACAGAGUCGCUGCCACCGUACGACGACGGAGGAGGCAACGACAUCAGGGUGAUGCAGCAUUUACUGGUGGCAGCAAAUAGGUACGGCCUAGAAAGGUUGAAGCUGGUAUGCGAAGAAGAACUGUGCAAAAGAAUCGACUCAGAGACCAUCACAACCAUGUCGGCGCUGGCAGAUCAGCACCAGUGCAAACGCCUCAAAGUUGCAUGCACGGAGUUCAAAUCAUCG